rnacentral:rRNA from 1 species
CAAAGCGGACCGAAGGGGAGCUUGCUCCCUUAGGUCAACGGCGGACGGGUGAGUAACAAGUGGGUAACCUGCCUGUACACAGGGAUAACUCCCGGAAACCGGGGCUAAUACCGGAUGCUUGAUUGAACCGCAAAGUUCAAUCAUAAAAGGUGGCUUUCAGCUACCAGUUACAAAUGGACCAACCGCGCCUAGCUAGUUGGUGAGGUAACAGGUCACCAGGCGAAAUGCAUAACAAACAUGAGAGGGUGAUCGG